rnacentral:rRNA from 1 species
GAACGCUGGCGGCGUGCUUAACACAUGCAAGUCGAGCGAAGCACCUGCCAUUGACUCUUCGGAAGAUAUGGCAUGUGACUGAGCGGCGGACGGGUGAGUAACGCGUGGGUAAUCUGCCUCUCACAGGGGGAUAACAGAGGGAAACUUCUGCUAAUACCGCAUAAGACCACAGGAUGGCAUCAUCAAGGGGUCAAAGGUUAGAUCUGGUGAUAGAUGAGCUUGCGUAUCAUUAGCUAGUUGGUGAGGGUAAAGGCCCACCAAGGCGACGAUGAUUAGCCGAUCUGAGAGGAUGACCGGCCACACUGGGACUGAGAUACGGCCCAGACUCCUACGGGAGGCAGCAGUUAGGAAUAUUGGGCAAUGGAGGAAACUCUGACCCAGCAACGCCGCGUGAAGGAAGAAGGUUUUCGGACUGUAAACUUCUGAUCUAAGGGAAAAAGAAAGUGAUGGUACCUUAGGAGAAAGCCACGGCUAACUACGUGCCAGCAGCCGCGGUAA